GUAUGUGUAUGUGAAUAUGUGUAUGCACAUACACAUACACACAUACGCAUACAUAAAUACAUACAUAUACACACA
rnacentral:miRNA from 1 species